AUCGCGAUAGCUCGCCUGUUAGAGCGUCUGCCCGGUAUGCGGAGGAUCGCCGGUUCGAUUCCGGCUCGCGGCG
rnacentral:tRNA from 1 species